rnacentral:rRNA from 1 species
GACGAACGCUGGCGGUGUGCUUAACACAUGCAAGUCGAACGGUAAGGCCCUUUCGGGGGUACACGAGUGGCGAACGGGUGAGUAACACGUGAGUAACCUGCCCUCAUCUCUGGGAUAACAGUCGGAAACGGUUGCUAAUACUGGAUAUGAGCCUGCAAGGCAUCUUGUGGGUUGGAAAGAUUUUUUGGUUGGGGAUGGACUCGCGGCCUAUCAGCUUGUUGGUGAGGUAGUGGCUCACCAAGGCUUCGACGGGUAGCCGGCCUGAGAGGGCGGCCGGCCACAUUGGGACUGAGAUACGGCCCAAACUCCUACGGGAGGCAGCAGUGGGGAAUAUUGCACAAUGGACGGAAGUCUGAUGCAGCAACGCCGCGUGCGGGAUGACGGCCUUCGGGUUGUAAACCGCUUUCAAUUGUGACGAAGCUUUUUGUGACGGUAGCAGUAGAAGAAGCACCGGCUAACUACGUG